ensembl:lncRNA
UUUUGAAGUCAUUGGGCGGCCAUUUUUUUGUGGACCGCUACAAUUACAGAAUGAGGAUAGCGGUAAUUAGCAUCUUUCACGAUUACGUCAACCUCUGAUUUUUGGAAUCUUGGACCAAAUCGUACUUUUGUUCCAACAUUUUCCAUUUCCAUUCCAUUCACUAGGAAAAAAAAAAAAGUCUUAAAUGGUUUGAUUUUUUUUUAAUUGUAUAUUAGCCAUCAUUAGCAUAGAGCUGUGUUCGUGUUCAAUACGUCAAAACUGAAAUUCCAAGACUAGUUCCCUGAAUCCGUGGUAUGUUUAUUACACAGCAGUUAGUUCUCUUGGACGACUGCCAGGUUUGAAAUUUGGUCUGUGAAAUUUGGGCUGUCCGGGACGUCCCCGGAGUUCUGAUUUGAGUUCGUUGUGAUUUGGAUCAUAAUCCAAUUCCUGAGGAAAUUGGAAUAUGAAUGAAUUACAACUGAAAAGCCUCGCUUCAGUUCUGUGAAGAUUAAGGACAGACGUGCUAACGUUUAACACGAAGACAGCUAUUUGCUAAUGCUAGGUAAUAUUAGAUAGAAGCCACAAAAAAAAAAUUUAUUCAAAUUGAAAUGCUUUUUUAUUCUAUAUUAUGGAGCUCAACACUAUUGUUUAAAGUAAACAUACGUGUAGAACGUCUGAGUAUGUGUGUGUUUACGGAAAACGUUGUGACGGACAUGGUAGCUCCAUUAGCCUCAACGCUCCAGCACAAAAUGAAAGAAAAUCAAAAACACAUCUUUGUCACAAGCGGGAAAACGCUCACGUUUUUCCACCAAAGCAUUAUUUUUUCCCCCUUUAAAAAAAAAAAAAAGUGUAAAGCAUUAUUUCUGGAGCUGUACCUCUUCUGCACAUGCUCCUGCUGUGAAUGUACUUCACAUCCAUCUGUCGGGAUUUCACACUCUCACGUUGAUGGUCGUUUUUUUGUUUUAUUUUAUUUAAAGAGAACAGACUGCACACGGAGGACCGCCGUGUCACUCCGGCGCUCCUGUACAAACCUUCCUGUCGCUGCCUGGCCCGAUUUCUGCUGACUGAUGACUCCAUCAAUCGCUUCGGUAGCUUUGCCUGCUCUUAAUUAAACUCGCCAUCGUGUGUGUGAUUAUAAGAUGCAAACGUUUACAUUCUGGGUUUCAUGCAAUUUUAUUCUAAAAAUGCAGCCAAUGAAAACAUUAAAAAAA